CGGCUGUAGCUAAAUCAAAUUUAAUGGCUGAGAAGUUAACUGGCCGGUUGUCGUUUUACAGUCGACUAAUCUGCUUACCGAACUUCUUACAUUC
rnacentral:snoRNA from 1 species